GAAUAGAAAGUUAUACUUGCUGUUUGCACUAGUUUGUAUCACCGUGUCUGAAACCUCCUGCGUGUCAUCUGUCUGAUCACGCAAGAAAAAAGGCAUGUAGAAAAAGACACAAAAAUGGUGUGCACCAAAAUCUCGGAGGCAACAGCCGUGAUUCACCAAGUGCAUGCUAGGUGGCACCACAAUAUUGUGCCUCAUUGAACACGGGUUUAACCAAGGCCCUGAGUAUCUGCACCUUGCUAGCGCAAGUUCACCAACAUGCACUUGCAGCAACAAUUGAUCAUAUGGUGCAUGUGCACUAGCAGCUCCGUAUGAAAGAGAGGCAUGAACUUCCUAUCACAAGUCUCUUCAAUCACAGUUGCAUUGAUAGAGCAUUUAGUUUUUUCACAUUGUCUAGUUCUCACGUGCAACAAGUACAACAGAAACCUUUGAACGUCAACGUAGAUCUUUCACUUCUGUACACCAUUCUAUCUUGCAGAAGUGAAAGUAUUCCUAAAAGUGAUGGCCCGCUGCGGCCCUCUGUUUAUCCUGUGAAUUGCCGUCUGUGCUGUUUCAAGACAAUGUGGUGCCAUGCAAUUGCAAGGACUCCUACACCUUAGUGCAUAACUAUUACAUGUCCGUAAGGUUUCUAAAAGUUCAAGCCAUGUGCUGGUUUAUUGCUGCCAGAAAGGAUGGGCAACCCCAUUCCUAUGACUUCAGCACAUUUUUUGUGUCUAUCUAACAACCUUGUUGUGUUUGCCAAUUGGGAAAAGAAAAACUAGCUAUAGAGUAGCACAGAAAACACAUAUGGGGGCACAGUUGCUUCAGCAACUGAAAAAUACAUCUUACAUAUUGCAAAGACAAGGUAUCUCAUAUUGGUUGAAAUAAGUGGUCCUCGCGGAGCAUUUUCUCCAGGUGUGCACUUGGAUAUCAUCAAAACAAAGGUCCUUGCUUACUUAUAAGUGAAGCACAGUGUUAACUAAACACAGAAAGGUGGUGAUUGGAUCAGUGCUCCUUUUCACAAACAGCUUUUCGCACCAAGCAACCAUGCCUAUUGUUGUGCUUAUGAAGUUUAGGGGAUAUCAUAUUGUCUGGCAUCAGCUUACAUCUGUUGACUCGAUGCGUCUAUGUCUUAUACAUGACAGGAGUGCUAAGUGGCCUCAGAAAUUGAGAGUUGUUGCAUCAUGGUCUCACCUCUUUAGGUGUAUGCAAAGAGAUUUCUGUGUUGGCUCUAAGUCCUUGUUCCUUUCUUUGUUUAUUCUUUCAACAGGAACAGUGUGUUGCUGUUGAUUGACAGGGGACACAGUCUUCACAUGCACAAUGCGUAACAUGUGGUCAAGUGAGCAUAUAAAUCUUGUUGGGGAGAGAUAGUGACCAUUGAACGGAUAGUAUUGAGCUAUUGAGAUUGUAUGUAGUGGCAGAAGUGAGAAUGGAGGACAGACAUUCAGACAUUGACAGAUAGUCACCAGUACACAUCUAGCAGAGAUAGUCCUUGCCCCGUAUUAGUAAGAGGGUGUGGCUUCUUCUAGCACAGCUUUUCAUUGAAGGUUCAUAAUGAGCUGCAUUGAAAUAUUGAAAGCACAGAAGCUUCUUGGCUCACUGAAAAUUCUUCUCACGUUUUCAUGUUGUUUUGCUUACGCCUGUCCUUCAGAGGCCUGUGGUUCGGCUGCUUUAAUGUAAUUGUACUUGCAACAGUGGGCAUACUUUUUUGUUAUUGUUGUUGUUGUUCAGCUGUGUUAUAAAGAGAGAGGACAGGCGGGGAACCAUUAGCCGGCUUUCUCGAGCCUUAUAUUUGUCUGGUUUGUUUUUGUUGGCAGCGCUUAAACUGAACGCUUCACAAACUCAAAGUUACAGUGAAAACUCAGCAAUUUGGGGCUCAUUAAAUUUUCUUUACUUUGAAUCAUUCGUACACAUGGAAUGGUCCCAUCAAAUAUAUACACGGGUGCACAUACAUACCAUACAUAUACACAUACUAUGGUGUAAAAGUAGACAUAAUUUGAGACCAGUUCGAGACCACAUUGGUUAACUCAGCAUUGGUAAGUACACCACACAUGCCAUGUGGGGUGCUUCAGCAAUGAAGAGAGCAUGGGAGGUGUGCGUCAACAUUGCAAUCGACACCAUUGUGAUGUUGCCCGAUCAGAACAUUGCUGAUGCAAUGGGAAGCCACUCAACAACGAACAAUUUACAUUGUGAAAUCACAGCCCGUAAAACAGGCUUUAGGAAGAGCAUGAAUAGUGGUGACUUAUUUUUAUGGUGGCUGAAUUCUGGGUGCAUGUACAAACGGAUGGCACAGGAUUUACAAGCUUUCUGAACUGUAACAUUAGUUAUGUUGGUGUAACCUUCGACCCAAACAUCACGAUUGUGCCAUCAUGAGCCAGCACGGCUAUUCAUGUCCUUCUUUAAAAUGGAUGCGGCCCAACAAAGAGUUUAAGAUUUUUGUGGCACAUGCUCGUAUGUUUGCCUGGUGCACCAGUUUUUUCAGCAGAUGAUAUUGAUGGUUCUAUUAGCCAAACACUUGCACAUUGCUGUGAGCUGAUCUGAGCUCUGUACCAUUUUCUCAGUAGGAUUGUACUGAAUAUUUUAUAAUUUGACAAGCUGAUAAUGUGACGUUUUUCAACUGAUCGUGUGAGAUACAAAGUAAUGAGAUUUUAUGGUUAAGGGCCAGUCUGGACAGUCACUUUUAGAACUGCAUUCAUUGGGAUGAUGAUCCAGAUGUGAAUGCUUUUGACUAGCACUAGAGGACGUGGGUAUGCUAGUUUUAAGGCCACAUCAGUUUCAAUCUUACAGCUGUCUGACAGGUAUUGAGUGAUUAACCUGCACCGUUCCAUUCAUUUUACAAUUUCAUUCCAUUGUUAAAAUCACUGUCAUCAUUCACCUUUUUUAGAAAUCGACAAGAUGAUUCCAACCUGCCGUGAAGGCUCUGGUGCUACAACAAUGUGCUGCUGAACGCAAGGUUACAGUUUCAAUUUUUAGUUGCCACUGCCACGUUCUAAAAGGGGCCAAAAUAAUAUAAACGCACCCUUGUGCAGAUAUGGUGCACUUCAAUGCCUGUUUCAUAUGGGGCAUUUUCUAAAUUCUGUCAAGUCACUGGCCUUCAAGAUUCUUAAACUCUGUCGAACUCAGUGGAGUUUUGCUUUGGCUAUGUUUCACAAUCUGGCACCAAGCACUUGUGGCAGCAUCAUUCUUACUUUCAUUGUUUGUUUGUUUUUUUGUUUAUUUUUAUUUUAUUUUUGCCGAAUGUUUUUUAAGCUAUUGCACAAUUCAUAUUGAGUUUCUUGUGAAAUGUCUCUGCACAUUCUUCAUGACAUUGGGUCAGUCCACAUCUACUUGGCUGCUGAGUCACUAGAAUAUCGGUCUAUUGACUUUUGAAGUGGUUGUUUAAAACUGGUCUAUACAACUGCACGUGCUGGCUGAAAUUGACCUGGAGCCCCCUGCCAUAGUGCCCCUGAUUGCUGAGGUGUAGAUUUAGGGCGUGAAAUUUAAGUCAAUUGUUCCGCCAAGUUUACUUCGAUAUCAUUUGGCCAGUGGUAGGCUUAACAGCUUCAUUUGUACGCGAUAGGCACUGUGAUUAUCUAGGUAGGACACUAUUUGGGCUAGUCAUUAUGAUAUCGCUUUUGCAAGGUUAAAAAUGAGCAAUGAAUGAAAAGCAGAGUGAGGAAAAGCGAUGACAAGGGUGCUGGCGUCCUUGUGUGUUCUGUUUCAUUGCGCAUGUGGCCACUUCCAUCUGUGCCUGUACUUGCUGGUUUACAUUAUGUUAGGGUACUCAGACUACAUGUGUUACUGUAUUCGUUGAAAAAUGUUCCAAGAAUACACUACCAGCAGUACGUCCUGCAUCCUUGUGGAACUUCAAGGCCUGUUCGGCAUAGAUUUUUUAAUAAUGUUGACAUGUAUGUCUACAAAGUUUGACAUUAGGAAUUACUCCGACAGAACAAAAUUUCGUAGAUUAAAUUCUUUUACUUAUGCGUCUUGCUAUUUGUUAUUCGCUUACUGGUGUGCCAUUUUUCCACACCCUUUAUGUGAAGAGACCUCGAGGUGUUUGGAUUGGCUUGCAUAAAAUGUUGCACUAUUGUAUCUGAUCAUAUUGGCCCAUCAGAAAUGCUUGCAUUAUCUCUGUAAUACAGCAGCUGGCAUUAGGUGUGAGCUUGUUGUCACUGUGAACUGUUAUUCUAUAAAAUGGCAAGCAAUCAACGACACUACAAAAAAAGUAGCUGCUGAAAGGUCGGUGUUUGAAAUACGUAGGGGUGUGUGAAUAGCAAUUAUUUUGACCAAAUCAAGUAUGGCAGAAGUGAAUUUAAUUCAAUAUUGGAAUACUUUUAGAAUAUUUUUCAAAUAAAGGAGAGCUGUUUUCACCCUUAACAUAAUUCAAUGUGUGCAUUUUAGAUGUUCAGUGCUGCUACAGACGAAUAAAUGGACAAGUCGACACUGAUGUUCACAUCCUAGUAUAUUCACAAUGUUGCCAGAUGUCAUUACAUUGUAUGUUACAAAGCACUUUUACUAAAUGCACAAACGGAGCAUUAGUAAUAGAUAAGCAGUUUUUUUCGCAUGCCCAGUACUCCUCAGAGAGUGCACAUGAUUGCAGUUUGAAAGGAAAAGUAUGGCUCCCUGAACGAUGUAGUGUGGUCCACCACAUAACUUCUCCUGUUUUACAUCGACCAUUGCAGCCUGGAUUAAGUUUAUCGUAGCUUUGCUCUAGUUUUGUGUUUGAUCACACACACUACACUCAAUUAGUGUUUGAUUGCACACAAUACAAUCAAGUAUUGAUUCUUUAGUCAAAAGUUCCGGCUAUUCACACGCACCUAGAAAUAAGAAUUUCUUCAAUAGUGCUUGCAAAGCUAGCUUUCCAGGCACUGAUGUGUCAUCGUUGCUGUACCGAAUGGGCCUAUACAAACACGUUGCGGAAGCUGACGUCUUCAUAAAAGACAUUUUUUCAGCAAGUAAACACAUCAGGAACUCGUAGUCGUUAGAGUUAAUGAAAACUGCAUGCAACCACGCAAUAGAAAGAAGGUGGGAUGGCAGCAACUGCUGCCAGAAACAAACAUGGCAGAUACUGGCUUCAGUAUAGCAACUUCAACUUAUAGCAAAAGUCUGUAGGUUAGCCCACAUGUACGAUCAGACCAGGAUUAAAAACACUUAUGGAAUCUAAUGAAAACAUGCCUUGUGUGUGUUCCUAUUCGAGUACGGGGCUUGACACAGAGCUGCAAAACCAAUCGGUGAAUGUGCAUUGGGUGCAACCGUUUUCUUUGAAGCUCAAGUUGUAGACUAUUCACAGAUAGGUGAAUCUACAAGGCUGAGAGGAUAUCUGUUCUGUUUAGCGUAAACUCUGGCCUGAAAACAUAAAUGCAGUGCACUUGAGAACACAUUAUGUUGCGUGGAAAGCACGCAUUGUUGCAAUGUGCCUAGGGGCCCAACGUAUGCUCAAUGUGUGGAUCAGGGGCUGAAUUCGAAUCAGCCAGCCACUGAAUUCAGUGGCACCUACAUGAACUGCUUGCAUACAGACUUUGAUACACACUACAUUCCAGAAAGUGGCAUGAGCACAUGAAAAACAAUGUGUUUGUUCAGACUUGCAGGAUGUUUCUUGGUAGGCUUGUUCAUAUUGCAGCCUCGUUUAAAAGCAAGCUUGAAGCUUUAUUAUGCUGCAUUAUAUUGCUAGUGUGUUAUGGAGAAUUUUGCCUAAAGGUUGCAGAAUGUUUGCCUUAAUGUGAUAGCAGGACAUGCAAAAAAGCACUCUUGCUUUGUUUGCAUUUUUCUUUUCGUUAACGGUACUCGCACUUUUAGCAGUGCUUCAAUAUGAAAGUCAUUGUUGAAGUCACGACCAUGUGGCACAUUUAGUCAUGUUCUUUUAGCGUGUGUUUUUAGUCUGCUGCUCAAUGAUAACUGCAUUACACUGUUAGUAUAAACAUACUGUGAUCACACUUGUAGCCUCAAUGUUAGUUGCUUUUGCACCUGUAUUUAAGUAAUGUGCACGGAAUAAAGCUCCAGUUUUAUUGUUCACUAA